rnacentral:lncRNA from 1 species
GUGGGACCACAUACAUAAUGUGAUUCAUCCAUUUCUAGAUGACCACCAAGCACAAGUCUCCCACGUUUGGGAGCUCCAUCCACCCACGUCUGAGUGAAGUCAAUGGGGCCGGCAGAGCAAUCGCGAGCUCUAAGCAUAACUCCCUUUACCAUUUCUGGCAAAGGUUCACAAUAUCCCACAAGACACCAGAGUACAAAAGGGUAGUA